rnacentral:lncRNA from 1 species
UAUGAGUGUUUUUCAAUAACACAAAAGAUUGUUUUAUUGGUUGUGGUGCACUUAUCGUUUUUAUCGAGGAACCAAGAUUCAUUUAUGUCUUUUACAAAAAGGGCAUACGAAAAGAGACGCAGUAGACGUGUCCAAAAGGAAUAUUAAAAAAUACUAGAAUUUUCAUCAGUACAUAUAGAAAAAAAUCGAAUGUUGGAACUUCUAAAAGAAAUGGUUUCUUAUCUUGCGAAGAUCUAAAAGAAUAUUUUGACCAUCAUGAGUCAUUGAUUUUGUACAAUGAAUACUCUUAUGACCAAAAGUUUAAUGAGUAUAUGCAUAACCCAACUUUAAAGGAAAGUUUUUCUGCAUGAUUUUCUAACCAAGUAAUGUUGCACUAUACAAGUGGAUUGACAAAGAAUAGCAACAAAUUUAUUGUCCCAAAAAAAACUAUAAUCAUGCACUGAAAAACAACCUUUCAUCAACAAAAGAAUGGCACAAGUUUCCAUUGAUAAAGUGUAAGAUAACAGAUGGUCAGUAUCUAACUUGUUUUGUGUUUUUUUUAAAAGUAACUUAAUUACUUUUUUGUAGCAAAAUGUUUUAUAAUAAGAUUCAUUUUCAUGUUGUGAAGAAUACAACUUUCUACAUCAGAUGAGAUAUAUGUUAAAGAAAGCAUUAAAAAAAAGAAUAACAAAUCAUGCCGCUCUUCAUUGCCAGAACUUCCGCCACCUAUUAUAAAUAAGCCCAAUGCUAAAAAGUUGUUAUCAGAUUGAAGAAGAUGUUUUUUCUUCACAUUUUAUUGAUGAACACAUUAAAACCAAGCAAGUUCACAUUGUCAAAGAGUUUCAAGUUUUAAUGUGAGUACUUUUGGUUUUUACACCACUGAAUGCUAAUGUGGAGGUCUUUUUUAUUAAUUUGUUUUAGUUUUAAAAUAAUUGUAAAAGAUAGGUAUAAAAGAAUAGAAAUGGAUUAUUUAUAAUAUUGUGAUCCGAUAAAUCAUGUGUGUAGCAUUUGGUCAACUUUACCUUUAGUAGUUAAACAAAAUUCUUUAAUAUCGUAACCUUUUACAGGAGGAAAUAUCAAGAAUUGCUCUUGAGCCAAGCCCAAAGAAAAAUACAUGAAAGUUAUCACCAGGGCUGUGGAGUCCGAGUUGCGGAGUUGAGAUAUUUUCAGCGGAGUCGGAGUCGCUAAACAAAAUCGCAACUCCAACUCCAAUAGUAAAACUUCUCGGUAUUGUGCGUGCAUGUACAAAACAUUCAAUUAACCUUAUGUUCAUACUAAACCUCAAAGAACGUUUCAUAAAUUUGUCAAAAAAGAAAUUUUUAACUUAUCCCGUAAUAUUUUUUAAAGAAUUUGAAAAAAUUUUCAAAAAUAUUGCUUUGGAGUUGUAAUCGAAGUUGGAGUUAGAGUCGGAGUUGUGCUCAAAAAAUUUCAACAACUGGAGUCGGAGUUGGAGUUGUACUCAAAAAGUUUUAAUAACUGGAGUCGGAGUCGAAUCUUUUUUUUACAACUCCACACCCCUGGUUAUCAGUAACGGUUUGACAUAAAUCUGAAUAUUAGUUGUUGUUUACUUGUCAAAAUUAAAUAGGAAUUUUUGUAAAACUUAAUUGUUUAAUUUAUUUUCAGCGGGUUUACCUAUAACUUGAGUGGAUUAUUUUUUAAAGUUGUUAUUUCAUUGUUUUGCUAUUUGGUUUUAUGAGCUAAAUAUGUUAAUCAAUCAUUUUAUUCUUGUUUAUAUUGAUGCGAAAUGAUAUUCUUAAGGAGCUUGCAGAAAUAAAAGUUCUUUUAAAAGAAGUUAUAGAAAUUAAGUUUCAGGCUACUGGGGUGAAGUUGCUAGAAUCAGUGGACGAAGUGGUUACACUGGAUAAUAAACUAAAAGAUAAAACCAAGUAUACUAAUUUGCUUGAUAGUUUGAAAACGAUUGGUGGCGGAAAGCCAUGAGAACAUGUUUUUUUGAUCAUGAAAAGGUUAUUUUCGAAUCAGUUACAGUCCAAAUUAAAUCAAAAAGAAAAUAGGGAAAAGAUAAGCUUAGAAAAUCUUGUAAAUAUAUGGAGUGUUUUACAAGAUAUCGGCGACGUGGAAGAAGAUGUUGAAGAUGUUGACGGCAAUGCAGAAAUAUAGUUUCUUAUGUAUAUUUUUGUGAAAUAAAAUUAAGUAAUUUUA